rnacentral:rRNA from 1 species
AUUGAACGCUGGCGGCAGGCCUAACACAUUCAAGUCGAACGAGUGGCGGACGGGUUAGUAAUGUCUGGGAACCUGCCUGAUGGAGGGGGAUCACUUCUGGAUACGGUAGCUAAUACCGCAUACCAUUGGUUGUCCCCAGAUGGGAUUAGCUUGUUGGUGGGGUAACGGCUCACCAGGGCGACGAUCCCUAGCUGGUCUGAGAGGAUGACCAGCCACACUGGAACUGAGACACGGUCCAGACUCCUACGGGAGGCAGAAGUGGGGAAUAUUGCACAAUGGGCGCAAGCCUGAUGUAGCCAUGCCGCGUGUAUGAAGAAGGCCUUAGGGUUGUAAAGUACUGUCAGCGGGGAGGCGUUACCCGCAGAAGAAGCACCGGCUAACGCCGGGCCAGCAGCCGCGGUAAUUC